GGUUGCAAGUUUGAGGCCAUAGCUGAAGCACUUGGGGCACGGCCCUGUCAGAUUCCAGCGAAUUUGCAAAUUCUGCU
rnacentral:ribozyme from 1 species